UACAGAGACCUCAAGCGUUAUCCGGAAUCAUUGGGCGUAAAGCGUGCCGAUAGGUGAUUUUAUUAGUCUUGGGUAAAAGCCAGAAGCUCAACUUCUGAGUUUGCUUAAGAUACUGUAAAACUAGAGGGGCAAAGAGGUGCUUGGAACGAAUGGUGUAGUAGUGAAAUGCGUUGAUAUCAUUCGGAACACCGAAAGCGAAGGCAGAGCACUGGGUGCAACCUGACACUGCUAGGACGAAAGCGUGGGGAGCGAAUGGG
rnacentral:rRNA from 1 species